CCCAAUCACGGCUGGAUGUGAUGCAGCCUGGAUUCGAACCGGGUAUUGCAGUGAUGCCUCUUGCACCGCGAUGCAGUGUUUUAGACCACUGCGCAACUCGGGAGCCCACUUUUAUACAAAAUAGGUGCUGGAAUAUAUUUGACAAAUUCUACAAUAUUUGUAAUCUAUGUUGAAAAUUGGUUGACAUCAAAUAUUUUAAGUAUGAUUCUUCAAUGUUGAUGUCUGAGGUUAAGGUUAGGGUUUAGGGUAGGGACAUCCCAAGGAUUCCAAAUAGCACUUUUCCAUUGUUUUUGAACGUUGCCACUGAAAAGUACAGGGCACUGAUAUGAGAAACAUGACUCUAGACCAAUUACUGUGACUAGCUACUCAAAACUUUCUUCAAAUCACAUAUAUUGGUUCUCAUAACAUAUUUGGAGUAACAACCACCUAAUGUAUUGUGUGCGUGUACACCUACUAUCUACUGUGUUAGAACAUGGAUAUUAGCAUGCGUGCAGGCUCUAUUUCUUUCAAUCGUCAGGUGUAUGUAGAAAAUGUGCGGUGAUAGGACGCAUCGAGCAUUGAUUUAUUGGCGUUGAACCAUCAAGAAGAAAGCGCGUUGUGACCAGUCGACAAAUACGAGCUAGCAGCUUCUAAAACCAGACCCAGAAAGUUAUAUACUGCGCAAAAAGUAUGCUUAUAGUUACUGCUGUUGAAAAAAACAACACAAUUCUCUAUGCUAUGGCCAUGCAUCUCCCUUCAGACUACCUACACACUGCGCUUCGGUGUGUGUGAGUUGCUCGCUAUAACUUGUUACCUACCAUAUGUCAUUUCCACCACUUUAUUCCGUGCUGCUGUAAUGUGAAGUGCAACCUCUAUUUUGGAGUUUGUCAUUUUUGUAUGUUUUCAACUUUGUCUUCUAAUUUACUAGUCUGGGAAAACAUGGUUGUUGUAACGUAAUUUGUUGGAAAAGGUGGAGAAACGCGCAGUGUCGAAAAAGAGAAUCCAAAACGGAGGCUUAAAUGUAACCCUCCGUUUUGGAUUAAUUCCUAAUUUUCGACAGUGUGUGCGGAUCUCCAUUUCUACCAGUAUUCUCAUGUCGAUACAUAACGUUACGCACUUGGAACAUACAUUAUUUAGGUGUAAAGGACAUUUAAACAAUGCAGACGGCAUGUCACUUCUGUUGCAGUAUAUGAACAUGGCAUAUCAUUUGUUUAAAAUUGCUGAAAUGUGUUGAUGCCAAACGUGAGAAAUUCAUAACAUUUGUAUCUGUCCACAUAUGUUGACUUUCGGGCAAAGGUGUUUCGUAGGUUCGGUGGAACAGCAUUUAUCAGCUCUCUGUUAGCCGAAGUCUUUCUGUGGAUUUAGCGCCACCUGGAGGACAAAAGCAAUACUGCACCAGCGACGUGAAAGGGGACCGGCUUUAAAAACAAAUCCAAGAUGGCUACUUGUGAGUGUUCAGCACAAAUGUCUUUGUUCAUUUUCCCCUCUCCUUGUUGGUAAAAGUUUCUGCUGCUUUACAAAUGUGAAAGGGUUCAAAGCACACACUAAGCCUGAGUUCUCUCAGCUCUGAGUAUGCUUUUCCUAGACACAGAGUUAGGAUCAGUUUAGUUUUUACUAACCUAGCAAAGAUUGUUGAGGGGGGAACCACUAUCGGUUCUGGGGGGGGGGAACAACAAUUUAGGCCCCCUUUGUGCCCCCCCCUAAAUGUGGAGUAUGAAAUAAUUUUUGCAUAACUAAUUUUUGCUAUUCUUUUUUUACAUCUGUUAUUAGACAGUGGCAACGAUGAUGAUAAUGAACAUGGUCUUAUGCCUGCUAAUGCCUGCAAUGCAGUGAAGAAAACGAUAUGACUACGAUUACGUCUAAUGUAACUGGCCCCUCUAACAGUACAACUGGCCCCAGCUUGGCCCCCCCCCCCAGGUGAAAUUGUCUAGAACCGCCACUGGGGGGAACGACACCAAUCACAGCACCAGCACGGCCUUGCUACUCUACAUAAUCCCCAGCCUGCCCGGCUGCUCGGUAAAAGGCAACUGUUAAAGCUUCUAGAUACUACCUCAGAGAGCGCUGUGUGUUUGAAGUAUAUGAGUCUUAUCAGGGUGCUUCCUGACAAUAACUGUCAAUGAGACUGCUAACCAAGGUGCUUUAUGUUAUGGCACUUUUUGUCUGCUUCUGUUGAGAAGAAUAUACAUAUGAAAUAACCUUUCCCCUAAUCAUUAUCUGUUGUUAGCAUUAACAGGAUACACUUUAAAGUGUUAAGGUAAGUGGUAAAAUAGUUAAAAUGUCUUCUAGCUGGGCUUAGAAAUCAUUGUAAAAUCUCUUAUUUUCAUCCAUUUUGCUUGCCGUAGAAAAAGCCUUUUUGUGAAAUCUUAUGUAUACUGUAGCUUGUCUUGCAAACAUUCCAACCUGUGUUUCAAUCUGCAUCACUUUGUUUGGCCUGUUUCUUGCUUGUAGAUGGUCUUCCUACUGUAUAUCUGUCAUUUGUAGCUUUUUAUUUGUGGAUUGUUUAACCAAGAUUCCUAACCUCUUCCAACACUGAUCAAAACUCAAAGUGCAUUGGCUGUCAACAGGCUGUUAACAGGUUUUGAAGCUGAAUCUCUAUUCUAAUUUAAUUAUUUCAUUUAUUUCACUGGAAAAUGUUAUGAGACUAUGCUGUGCUCCUGUAACAGUUCCUACUGCUCCCACUCCCACCUCCCCCCCUGCUGUGCUAGCUCCUACUGCCCCUCAGACCCGGUCAACCUCCCAGCCAACAGCUGGACCAGUGCAGCAUGCUGCUGGUGCUCAGCAGGUGCUUCUCCCUGAGGGAUGGAAGCAGACCCUACCAAAAGAGCAACAAGAGUGGGUCAGUCGGGGCAUCUUCACAGGGAACAAGCAGCUCAAAUGUGUCCUGAAAAGCCAGCUUGACCUGUGGUAUUCCCCUCUGCCUCUUAACGUCAGCCAUCAGCCUCCAGCUUCUCCCACCGCCUAAUUCCUCUGGCCGUUCUGCCUCUGGAUGCCCUACCGCCUGUGGGCCUCUAAGUUUGUGUGCACCCAGCCACAGUGCAAGCGCCACAAACUCAGACGGUUCGGAGGGUGCUUGACAUGGACGGCUGGUAUUAUAUGGGGACAGAGUACCUGGAAUGCUGCAUCUGUCAGAGGAAGCUAGCAGGAUGGUCGCUGGAGGUCUUGAACCAGCUGGAUGCAAGUCAUCGCUUGAAGUUCCCAGCUAUCUUGACUUACAGGUUGUCCUGUGACCUGAAGGUGGUCAGGCUGAUGAGAGAGAGGACACUGGGCAACAGUGUGACCAGGCUGUACAACCAGCUGAGGGAGCAGCGCAGCCUGACCUGGAUGGACAACCAGCUGAGGGAGCAGCGCAGCCUGACCUGGAUGGACAACCAGCUGAGGGAGCAGCACACAGCCUGACCUGGAUGGACAACCAGCUGAGGGAGCAGCACACAGCCUGACCUGGAUGGACAACCAGCUGAGGGAGCAGCACACAGCCUGACCUGGAUGGACAACCAGCUGAGGGAGCAGCACACAGCCUGACCUGGAUGGACAACCAGCUGAGGGAGCAGCACACAGCCUGACCUGGAUGGACAACCAGCUGAGGGAGCAGCACACAGCCUGACCUGGAUGGACAACCAGCUGAGGGAGCAGCACACAGCCUGACCUGGAUGGACAACCAGCUGAGGGAGCAGCACACAGCCUGACCUGGAUGGACAACCAGCUGAGGGAGCAGCACACAGCCUGACCUGGAUGGACAACCAGCUGAGGGAGCAGCACACAGCCUGACCUGGAUGGACAACCAGCUGAGGGAGCAGCACACAGCCUGACCUGGAUGGACAACCAGCUGAGGGAGCAGCACACAGCCUGACCUGGAUGGACAACCAGCUGAGGGAGCAGCACACAGCCUGACCUGGAUGGACAACCAGCUGAGGGAGCAGCACACAGCCUGACCUGGAUGGACAACCAGCUGAGGGAGCAGCACACAGCCUGACCUGGAUGGACAACCAGCUGAGGGAGCAGCACACAGCCUGACCUGGAUGGACAACCAGCUGAGGGAGCAGCACACAGCCUGACCUGGAUGGACAACCAGCUGAGGGAGCAGCACACAGCCUGACCUGGAUGGACAACCAGCUGAGGGAGCAGCACACAGCCUGACCUGGAUGGACAACCAGCUGAGGGAGCAGCACACAGCCUGACCUGGAUGGACAACCAGCUGAGGGAGCAGCGCAGCCUGACCUGGAUGGACCCUGAACUACCUGUCCGUCUGUGACCACUUUGUAGUCCCAGGUGCUGCACCACUGAGGGUAACACCUCCUCCUCCCACUUUGUAGUCCCAGGUGCUGCACCACUGAGGGUAACACC